UACGUAGGUGGCAAGCGUUGUCCGGAAUUACUGGGUGUAAAGGGAGCGUAGGCGGGGAUCCAAGUUGGGUGUGAAAUACCGCAGCUUAACUGCGGGGCUGCACCCAAAACUGGGUUUCUUGAGUGAUGUAGAGGCAGGCGGAAUUCCUAGUGUAGCGGUGAAAUGCGUAGAUAUUAGGAGGAACACCAGUGGCGAAGGCGGCCUGCUGGGCAUUAACUGACGCUGAGGCUCGAAAGCGUGGGGAGCAAACAGG
rnacentral:rRNA from 1 species